rnacentral:rRNA from 1 species
GACGAACGCUGGCGGCGUGCUUAACACAUGCAAGUCGAACGGAAAGGCCCUGCUUUUGUGGGGUGCUCGAGUGGCGAACGGGUGAGUAACACGUGAGUAACCUGCCCUUGACUUUGGGAUAACUUCAGGAAACUGGGGCUAAUACCGGAUAGGAGCUCCUGCUGCAUGGUGGGGGUUGGAAAGUUUCGGCGGUUGGGGAUGGACUCGCGGCUUAUCAGCUUGUUGGUGGGGUAGUGGCUUACCAAGGCUUUGACGGGUAGCCGGCCUGAGAGGGUGACCGGCCACAUUGGGACUGAGGUACGGCCCAGACUCCUACGGGAGGCAGCAGUGGGGAAUAUUGCACAAUGGGCGGAAGCCUGAUGCAGCAACGCCGCGUGCGGGAAGACGGCCUUCGGGUUGUAAACCGCUUUCGCCUGUGACGAAGCGUGAGUGACGGUAAUGGGUAAAGAAGCACCGGCUAACUACGUG